rnacentral:rRNA from 1 species
UACGUAGGGUGCGAGCGUUAUCCGGAAUGAUUGGGCGUAAAGCGUCUGUAGGUGGUUCAAAAAAGUCUACUGUCAAAUACGUUGGCUCAACCAACGGCAGGCAUUAGAGUACUAUUGAACUAGAGUGUGGUAGAGGUAGAGGGAAUCCCUAGCGUAACAGUGAAAUGUGUAGAUUUUAGGGAGAACACCAGCGGCGAAGGCGCUCUACUGGGCCAUUACUGACACUGAGAGACGAAAGCUAAGGGAGCGAAAGGG